rnacentral:lncRNA from 1 species
UACAUUAAAUUCAAUUUAUUAAAGCGAUCCUAUCCUAUAACAUUUGAAUUUGCUACUUUAAAAAGAACACAAAAGUACAAAACUGUAAAACUCUGAAAAUUACAUUUUUAAAAAAAGCAUUUUAAAAAAUCAGUUUUUUAAGUUUGAUUGAGAGAUGUGGCAUAAGAAAAAGUAACAUGCAAAAAAAGGUGUAAAAUGAGCAUUGAUAAAAACAAGCUAUUAACUACCAGCUACAUGAAAUGCAGAGAACUGAAUUACCUCAUCUAAUGCUGUCCAAAGCAAUAUUUUUGUGAAGUAUUAGAACUAAAAGAAAAAAUAUAUAACAUAUAAAUCAAGUUGUUAAAUUACUAUCUAAAAAAAAUCUAAAUUUUGACUUGAAUAAUGUUGUAAGCUUCAAUUUAAUUUAAAAAAAAUAACUAGGAAUAUUGCACCUUUGUCAUACUACCCUUUCAUGUUAAGAAAUAAAAAGAUGAAUAAAUAAGCUGAAUAUAGUGAUGCAGUGCGUUGCUUUUUGUAACUCAAAUACUGAUUAAAUUCCUAACCAUCAUGUAAUAUAACUUCCACAAAUUUUGAAAACUGCAUAUAAUAAAGCCAUGAGUGAAUUUUCAAGUUCUUAAGCAUUUAAGUAUACAUCAUAUGUGAAUAUGCCACUACAAUCAUAACAAAACCAUAGGCAUGUUCUAAGAAAAUAAGAUUCUUUCAUUAGUUUCCCCCUUUACCUGUUUUCUUCUACAUAGCAAAGCUAACAAAAUAAUUAUAAAUUAGCACCUCAUUUGGCAAAUAUCAAAAGAAAUCUGCUUAAGCUUAGUGUCUAAGAUGGUUUUCAUAAUAAAACUGAUGACUUUUCAACAGUAGGCAAAUGUUUUUUCAAAUUGUUUUGCUCUAUCAGCUUCUCUAAAUUUAAGGUUUUUUUUUUAAUGGACCUGAGCAUGAAUUCUGAUUUAAGAAGAUAUAAAGAUAACUUGAGCAAAAUGAAUCAGUGCUAGAUAUGCCUGUGUAUUCCUUAUAAAGUUUGAAAAGUCCUAUUAAACUCCAGAUAGAAAUUUUAGUCAGGCCAGCACUAGAAAAUCAGGGCUGAGAGUUUAAUUGCCAAAGGUAACCUUUAGACAAAUGGCAACUAGAAGAGAAGAAACACAGAAAAGAGAGGGAGGGGCACAUAAAAAGCCUAUUCUGGUAGUAACUACAUUGAGAAAGGUAAGAAAUGAUUGCUAAUAGUUUUAAGUUGACACCUCUGUAAAUAAGAAAUUAUACAUUUAUACUAUCCUAAUUGUUUGCUAAAAAAAAAAAAAAAAAAACCAAUAGGUGAAUUCUAAGUCCAUCUUAUCAGUUCUCUGUGGUCUUAAGACCAACUUCCUCUCCUUCUUCUCCU